AGCGUGAUGUUUCCUGUCGUCUGAUGUACUACUUCCUAAUUCUCCUAUUGUGUGAGUAUCGUCUUUGUUCUCCUUCUAGCGGAAAUGAAGUUGUUCACCUUCGUUGUUUUGCAUCUCCUGAUGGAUGUUCAGUCUCAAAAAUCUCCUGCUGUAAAAGUAUCUCCAGAUGUCAUAAGAGAGUCCAGCACAGUGAAGAUCAUCUGUGAGACAUCAGAACGUGUGGAUCAGUGUUAUUUCUACACAAACAGAGAAGUGAAGAAUAUAAAUGUCAGUUCAUCGUGUGAGCUGGAUCUCACUGGUGCUGAAGUGCUCAGAUGGGCAGCUGUGAAAUCACCUGAAUCAAUAGAUAUUUACUGUUACUUUACAAUAGAAAACCACGGUAUACACAAACCAUCAUCUCAUUCUACUCCUGCUACAGUGACUGUGUUGGAUUCACUUCAGAAACCCUCCAUUGGUGUUAAUGAAGAUCAGGACAUUAUAUCAUGUGAAAUACCCCUCUCAGUCGAAGCUGAUUUCAUCUGUAGCUUCUACACUGAAGAUGGUGGUCUUCUGUGUCAGCGUGUCUCUCAGAGGAGUUCGUCUGGAGAGAAAAGUCACUGUAUGUAUUACUUAAGUCAUAGUGAACUCUUCACACGAUCAGUGAACAGGAGACGGCUGAGCUGUGUUUAUUCCUCCAAGACUGAACCUGAGAUCAGAUCCCCACACAGUGACACGAUCACCUUGAAAGGUCUUCCUCUGGCCAGGUUGUCAGCAUCUGCUUCAGUUAUUCUGGAAACAGACACAGUUCAGCUGAGUUGUGAGAAUACUGAAGAUCUGAAGAUGAAUAUGUGUUACUUUUACAUAAAUGAAAGACAAAAUAACUCAAAACCGAACUCAUCAUGUAAGCUUUCACUCACUGGAUCUCAGAUCAGUAUUUGGUCGGGAGGUCAGAGCUCAUCUGUGAGAAUAAUCUGCUUCUACACUGUGAUGAACAAAGCGUCUCUUCAUUCUGAUCCAGUGACAGUCCAAAUUUCACCAUCAACCAUCACUGAACAAACUACAACUACCAUGAAAACCUUUCUAAUAAGCAGAAGACAGAAAACACACAGAGAAUUUAACAAAGGCAAGUCUCAUGUCUGCAGGUAGAAAAGCCGCAAAAUGUUCAAGAUUGCUUUGAUCAUUCUGCUUUUUUCAACAUGGUUACUAUUUUAGAAUGUUUAUUUUUAUUAACAUUCUAUUAUAUUAUCUUUCAAAAGCUUUAGCUGUAACAGCCACACAGUAAAACUCGUAUCACAUCACAGUCUGAUGAACUGUUUUCACAGCCUCCUCCGCUCCGCCUGACUCAACCAGAGAGACUCAAACAUACUCACGACUUCAUUUCUGUCUGGACUCAUAGGAUUCAUCUCUCUGUGCCUCUUUACCAGUUCUGACGUCUCCUUCCAGCUGGAAACAACAUCGCUUUUAAUGUUCUCUCUGUGCUCCUCGAAACAUGGAUGACUUGUUUACUUUCUUCACUUUUUACAUCUCUGUCACUGACCUGUACAUGUAGCUACAGCAAGAAUUAUAUCAUAGUGUUUAGUACAGUAUUUAGCUACUGAAUUUUUUUUAAGCAGUGACAAUCUGAAUAAUAGUAGCUGUAUGUAAUUAGCAAAUGCAUGCUAAUAAUAAUAAAGAUGUUGGUGAUAAUAAUAAUAUUUUGUGAUGACGGCAACAAUAUUAUCAAUAAUAAUAAAAGUUAUAGUAAUAAUAAGGUAAUAAUGACACAGAGUUUAGCAUAGAAGUUUUGGAAUAUUGUAUUUAUAUAGUCUUUUUUUUCUGUUUCUUUUAAUUAAUUUGAUUGUUUACUGGAUUUUUUGUGAUGAUAUGUUUCAUGACGGCAGAACCUGAUUUUGCUGAGUUUGACAUGUUCUUGGAUCAAUCUUUGUUGGCCAUGGAACAACAUUGAGAUUAAAAGAAGAUUGAGAUUUAAAGAAGCAGUUUAUAGUCUUUGUGAAGUUUAGACUUACAAUCAAUGUUUGGUGCUACAUCAGUGUCAUUAAAUUUGAUUUUAGGCAUAAGAUUAGGUUUAAGUGUAGAGCUAUGGUCAAAACAAAAGUUUUUGGAUUAAAAUGUUGUAUAAGGGUCAACAAAAAUGUUAUUUAUUCCUAGAGUGUCCUCUCUGUGUGAAGAUACCUGUCAAACUCUGGCUCUUUAAGGAGAGAUAUGUUAAAGCUUCAUCUACUGGUGUGUUUAUGUAAAUUAGCUGGAUUCUGUAUGAGUUAUUGGAGCGUGGACACUGUUGAUGGGUGGAUUUUAUAUUCAGAGAUAUUUGAUUGAGUUCCUGGUAUAUUGCAGUAGUUGUAUUAUGAACAAUUUUUUUGUUGUUGUUUUUUUGUUUGUUUUUGCUUAUCAAGAUACAUAUUCCUCUGUUAAAAAAUCAAGGGCUGAAUAUGAAUGAGUGAACUUUGCUGAUAAUCAAAUACUUAUCAUAUGCUGAUAAGCAUUGCAGUAUACUCUAUUAUUUCUCGUUUUGUAAUGGAUGGUAAUCAAACUGGCAGACUAACAUCUGUGAAGGUUUUUAAAUAAAUCGAAUG